rnacentral:lncRNA from 1 species
CUCUCUCGACCCAACUCUCUCUCUCUCUCUCUCUCUCUCUCUCUCUCUCUCUCUCUCGCACGCACGCGCUCUGAUCGCUCGCUUUAUCCCUCUCUCGAUUGCUCGCCGCUCUCAUUUUUCUCGAUUUCGCUUAUGCAAUCAUGAGAUUAAGCCACGUUGACCUGCUUCUAGCCAAGGCGAAGGGUCGAGGUUCAGUUUUCCGUGGGUUUAGGUUCGGUUUUACUCGUCGAGGCACAAGGUAAGUGAAAUUACUUUUCUCUAUGCUAUGUUGAUAUGCUUGUCGUGCAAUUCGAGGAAUCUUGCCUUUGAUGUGCUGUGAUGUUUGAUUUGUGUUGUCUUGAUUCGGUUCAUGUUGUUUUGGGUUGGAUUAUAUCGUUGUCCGUGGGUUGGUUGAGGUUUAGACGCUGCACUGUGUGCCAUGAGGUAUCAUGGUUAUUAUGGCUACAAUUUAACGGUUUUAAGCUUAAUUUUGGCUUUGCAUGUUGCGUUGACGAUGCAGGUGAGGUUUAGUGAUCUUGAGAUGGUGAUAGUUCGAUUGUGAGGUUCAGUUAAGGUUGGUGAUGGUUCGGCGGAGGAUUGUUGAGGUGUCAAUGGUCUCGGAUUGGUGAUGGUUUAGUCAAGGUUCGGUUGUGGGUCGAUGGUUGGGAGUUGUAAUUACUUGGUUUGUACAAGUCCGCUUGAGAUGUUGGUAUUUGUUCUGUCCUAAAUUGUCACAUUUGUGUUAGGAUAGACAAAAGAGAGUCAAGUAGAUGGCGGUGAGUGAGUCAUCAAUUAGACCUCGGUAUUUAGAAUGGUAUUUGAAAAUGUGUCGAGCCUUGUUAAGCGAGGUGUCCACAUGCUUAAUGGUAAGAUAAAUGUGCAUGUUUUAUGUGAUUAAAAUACUCACAAUGAAUAUUGUUGGACAGCAAACUGGCGAUGCCUCGUGGGAGCUUGGAGGAAAUUCGAGAUGCCUAGGGAAAAUUUGAGAUGCCUAGGGACAGGGAACCUAAGAAGCCAUCGGACGACGAACUAGCGAUGCCCAUGGAAGCAUGGAGGGAAUUCGGGAUGCUUAGGGAUAGCGAAUCCUGGAAGCCUAGGGAUAGCGGAUCCUAGAUGCUUGCGGAGGGAUCCCUAGGGACAAUGAACCCUAGAAGUUUGUGUGGUCUAAAGGGGGUUGGAUUUAGGAUUUAAUUGAAAGUUGGCGACCUUUUUCGAGACAAAAAAAGUUGGGCUAGAUUUGUCGCUUGACCUAAAGUUAGUGCUUUUUUACUAGAUAAAAAAAGUUUGGGCUAGAUUUGUCCCCAUUGCUUUUUUUUUUCUCGGAAUUAGCCCUAUUUUUUCAGCUUCUUUUUUUUUAAUAAAAAAAAAUUCCGCCAAUAAGGA